AUUUCCACUCUCAACUGUGCUCCAAUUUUGAUCUCUGUGGAAAGAAGUAGCUUCUGACAGGAGUGAAAGGAUUUAUGAUCAUAACCACCAUCUUGGGAAAAUACUUCCAAUGACAGUUUUUAAGCUAGGAAGUCUCCUGCUGAGGAGAAGAAGAAAUAGAGCUGGGGUUGGAAGUUUCCUGACUGUGACGGGGUAGAAAGCUGUUAUUACUGCAUGUGCUAACCAAGAAUGCAAAUCCUGCUGCCUUGAAUAUUCA